rnacentral:misc_RNA from 1 species
AAGUCGUAACAAGGUUUCCGUAGGUGAACCUGCGGAAGGAUCAUUAAAGAAUAUUACCUUUUUGGUAUAUACUUCUUAUCCCUUUGUCUACUUACUCUGUUGCUUCCAUGGUGCCAGUCAUUUUUGGCUCUGGACAGCUGAUUAAUCUCACCUGUUUGGAAGUGCCCAUGGGUAGUGUUCCCCCUCUAGGGGGGGAAGACUUUGAAAAAACUUAUGUGAUAGAAUUGUCUGAAGAUAUAUAAAAAUAUAAAACUUUCAACAACGGAUCUCUAGGCUCUU